rnacentral:rRNA from 1 species
AUUGAACGCUGGCGGCAUGCCUUACACAUGCAAGUCGAACGGCAGCGGGGCAACCUGGCGACGAGUGGCGAACGGGUGAGUAAUGUAUCGGAACGUGCCCAAUAGUGGGGGAUAGCCCGGCGAAAGCCGGAUUAAUACCGCAUGAGACCUGAGGGUGAAAGCGGGGGAUCGCAAGACCUCGCGCUGUUGGAGCGGCCGAUAUCAGAUUAGGUAGUUGGUGGGGUAAAGGCCUACCAAGCCUGCGAUCUGUAGCUGGUCUGAGAGGAUGACCAGCCACACUGGGACUGAGACACGGCCCAGACUCCUACGGGAGGCAGCAGUGGGGAAUUUUGGACAAUGGGCGCAAGCCUGAUCCAGCCAUGCCGCGUGCGGGAAGAAGGCCUUCGGGUUGUAAACCGCUUUUGUCAGGGAAGAAAUCUUCUGGGUUAAUACCUCGGGAGGAUGACGGUACCUGAAGAAUAAGCACCGGCUAACUACGUGCCAGCAGCCGCGGUAA